rnacentral:tRNA from 1 species
UCUAUUUUGUCAGAUAAUAUGUACUAGACUUAGGAUCUAGCUAAAUAGGAGUAAUUCCUAUAAAUAGAAAAGUGGUUAAGCUAACUGUUUU